rnacentral:rRNA from 1 species
UACGAAGGGGGCUAGCGUUGCUCGGAAUCACUGGGCGUAAAGCGCACGUAGGCGGCUUUUUAAGUCAGGGGUGAAAUCCUGGAGCUCAACUCCAGAACUGCCUUUGAUACUGAAAAGCUUGAGUCCGGGAGAGGUGAGUGGAACUGCGAGUGUAGAGGUGAAAUUCGUAGAUAUUCGCAAGAACACCAGUGGCGAAGGCGGCUCACUGGACCGGUAUUGACGCUGAGGUGCGAAAGCGUGGGGAGCAAACAGG